rnacentral:tRNA from 1 species
GCACUGGUGGUUCCGUGGUAGAAUUCCCGCCUUCCAUUUGGGAGACCUGGCUUUGAUUCCCCGGCCGGUGCA